rnacentral:rRNA from 1 species
GCGAUAGUACCAGCACUAAUGCACCGGAUCCCAUUAGAACUCCGCAGUUAAGCGUGCUUGGGCGAGAGUAGUACUUGGAUGUGUGACCCCCUGGGAAGUCCUCAUGUUGCACCCC